rnacentral:rRNA from 1 species
CCUACGGGAGGCAGCAGUGAGGAAUAUUGGUCAAUGGGCGCGAGCCUGAACCAGCCAAGUAGCGUGAAGGAUGACUGCCCUACGGGUUGUAAACUUCUUUUAUAAAGGAAUAAAGUGAGGCACGUGUGCCUUUUUGUAUGUACUUUAUGAAUAAGGAUCGGCUAACUCCGUGCCAGCAGCCGCGGUAAUACGGAGGAUCCGAGCGUUACCCGGAUUUAUUGGGUUUAAAGGGAGCGUAGGUGGGUUGUUAAGUCAGUUGUGAAAGUUUGCGGCUCAACCGUAGAAUUGCAGUUGAUACUGGCAGUCUUGAGUACAGUUGAGGGAGGCGGAAUUCGUGGUGUAGCGGUGAAAUGCUUAGAUAUCACGAAGAACUCCGAUUGCGAAGGCAGCUUACUAAGCUGCCACUGACGUUGAUGCUCGAAAGUGUGGGGAGCAAACAGGAUUAGAUACCCCAGUAGUC